AACGCACGAGACCUGCGGACCUGCGGAGGGAUCAUUAAUGAGAAGCUGCCCCUCGUGGGUAGACCUCCCACCCUCUGUGAACUUACCUUUGUUGCUUUGGCAGGCCCGUCCUCUGGACCGCCGGCUUCGGCUGGCCCGUGCCUGCCAGAGGAUUCCAAACCCUGUCUGUCAGUGUUGUCUGAGCCUAUAUGAAAUCGUUAAAACUUUCAACAACGGAUCUCUAGAUCGGAAGAGCACACG
rnacentral:misc_RNA from 1 species